GGGGGGGUGCAAUCAUAGACAUAUAUAUAGACUAUGGGCGCAGUGAAAAAUGAGAAAACAAAAACACAAGAGAGGUUUUGAGUAGAAUAUAUUAAAAAAACAAAGAUUUAUUUCAUGAAAACACAGUGCUCAACACUGUCCACUAACAACUCUCAACAAACUGUAAAAUUGGGAAAUGAGAGGUUUAGAGCAGAAUGGUUUAAGAAACAUUGGGUUGGGUUCCAGAGGUUUAAAUAUUGGGUAGUAGAGGUUUAGAGUAGACUAGAUUCAGAACCAUUGUGUACAAGAAGUUUAAAACAGAGUAGAUUUUUUUUUUUUUUUAAAACAGGGUGUAGAGGUUUAGAGCAUAAUAGAGUGAGAAAGACUGAAUGAUACCAGUAGUUUAGAGCAGAAUAGAUUCAGAAAUACUGGAUUAUACUAGAGGUUUAGAGCAGAAUAGAUUCAGAAACACUGGAUGAUACUACAUGUUUUCGAAUGCCAAUUCGGUACCCUUCGUCCAACUGCUCUGCAAUACUCAGUCUUCCAAAGAGGCUUAGCUUCAGGCUGUUAGUUAGAUGGCUGCGGCAAGAUUCGUGCUUCUUACAUUUAUCGUUGAAGUGCUUUAGAUCCCUCAUCCCCGUUGCAGUCCAGAUUGUUUCAGUCCCAGGACUUUGUAACAACAGGCAGGGAAAACAAAAAAACGCAUCACUCACUGAACAACCAGCUGAGCAGCUACGGUUAGCAUACAGGCUUGAGGAGAAGCUACGGGUGUACGUCCUCCCGCGGUCGAUGCUCUGCUGCUGCAUUUUUAAAUCCGGACGUUCAGGUCCCAUGUCUUUCAGUCUCUUCUUAUCGACAUCUGAUCGUCGAUUCGAAAGUUUUCAGUCGGCAUACUCACAGAAUCAAAGUCUCUGCUAGCUAUGUUGCUCUCGUAGAUACGUGAGAUGUGUAUGGGAUGUGAGGGAAUGAUAAAGGUCUCUGAUUCGACGAGUAGUCCAGUCGCGUUGAAAUAAGAAACGAUGUCAUUGGUCAGGGCGCAAAAUUUUGCGCCCCAGGAUCGAACUUUCAUCCGCCAAUGAGAAGCUGCCCUUGUUCAAAUGUUUCAAAAAAGUAUGAGAGCUCCCAUUGACUUCCAUUUGGCCGGCGCCCCUCCAGGGAGGAGGGGCUUAUCUCAGUGAUAACGAAUGGCAAUAUAUUAUAUUUGGUCACAUUUAAGUGGUUGUUGACAGGGGCUUACGGGCUCCCACACACAUUUAACUCGUUAACACAGUACAUUUCCUAUUUUAAUUGUUUGGUAUAUAAUGUUUUUUUACUUUUUUUUUUUUUUUUUCAUCUCAAAAUUUUAGGAGGGGCGGCGCCCUUGCGCCCUGUAUUGACGCACCGCCACUGCUCAGCAGCCAUAGCCAGUCUAUGUUUAUGUAAUCCUGUAGAAGUAAAGCAUCUGUAUCUGAGGGAUAUAUUACAAUGCCACAGGAGUCUAGAAUGUCACAAUGUCCAAUUUCCUGCAGGUCUUGAAUCAUUGUUGAUUUUCAAUAAUGCCUUGUAAAACAUCAUGUUUAUGGUUCAACUGAAGGGCACUGUCUGGGUCUGGCAUGUAUGUAGGCUUUCAGUAUACUAGUUCAU
ensembl:lncRNA